GCCCCUGUCUUUCACAUGGGCUGUAAUUUAGUUCAAUUCAGAACUGCAGAUAGUACAGCUUUCACAGGAGCAAGGGAUGCCUGAGCACAAGUGGCUGAGUUCCGCGUGACUUUAUGAAGCCCUUUCCCAUCUCCCUCCUUCAGGAAAACGGGGGAUUCUGCACCUGCGUCAGGGACAGUCUGGCCAAAGCCUCUGCUCUGCCUCCGGGGACGAGGAGCUAGCACAAAUAGCCGUUUUGAAAUUGGAUCUUGGCAAAAUUUGCAACGAAUCCAUAAAGGAAACUGAAAGCAGUUUGAUCUUCAUCUUCAGUGACAGUCCCACAAAAGUUGAAGAAAUAUGUUCUGUCUCCAAAGAAGAGUACAGUUGUGCUCUAAAAUUAAAAUAUGAUUAAGGCGUUUGGGUAAUAUGCCAGUGAUGUGCUUUUCAUUGUCGAGGAAUCCAUCUACUACACAAAAGAGGCACGGGUACACCAUCCAGCAGACAUCUGUAUGCCAAUCCCAGGAGGAAUGCCUGUGCUCUGCUAAGUCACAGCUCACAUGGCCCCUCUCUCCUGGAGAAUGAAUUCUCAGAUGGAAAUGUCCUGUUUCGCAUGGAAUAACUGUAAAGACUCAACCUCAAAAAUAAAAGCCAAAAAUAGACUGAAGCAUAAUAUAUUUUUAUAGCUCUCUCUCCAGAAUGACAGAAUUUUCUGUAAAUCUCAUUAUGUAAAAUAUGCCUUCCCUGUGGUAAGUAUGAGGUAUGGGGAGAAACUAAUUGGAUUGCUCAAAUUAGUCAAUAUGUCUGAAACUAUUUUGGGGAUGCUUAGCCUUUUGGGUAACUAUAUGAUAUAAUUUGUUGGUUUCUUGUGAGAGUUAUUCUUUUGAGCAACAAGCAGAAAUCCAGCAUAACAUUAAGAAAUGCAAUUUUAGGCACAAUACAAGGGCCACAGAUGACCACAAUGUGUAUCGUUAUCUCAAAGAGAAUGAUGUACUGAAAAAUUAAGAGUGAUAGCAUGACAGUGGAAUGACUGCCAACUUUUUGGACAUUGAUGUAAGCUGAAUUUAAUAAAAGCAAAAGAGAUGUUAGUGAAGGAAGACUCUAGAAUAACUUAUUUUGUGAUUUUGUUAGGGUUUUUCUAAUGGUAUCUUCUGGGGCAAAUAUCUUCUAGCUGAAAUGAUUGUAAUUAAAAAAAUAAAAUUGUAAAAGGCCAGAACAUUUUCUCUUAAGAAUAUUAUACUUGACAGUAUCUUAACUACUAGUAAAUAUGUCCUUGUGUUUCUUUAAAUCCUCUGUGGACUAAAUAUUCCACUCGCUGAGAUUGUUUUAUAAAUAUCAGUAUUUAUGUUGAUUUGACUGGUUUUUUUGGAUAAACAUGGCCCAGUAUACACAUCCGAACUCCAUUGACUUCUUGGUGUUAAUUGCCUCGGGAGGUGGCACUACAGGCCAGAGAAUCUGCCAUUGAUCACAUUUUGGGAAUUGUCUUUAAAUCCAACUCCAUUUAUUUUUAAACCUCAUUUUAAAUUCAAUUAACCAACCUAUAGUACAUCAUUAUACUGAAAGAAGACAAAUCUCUAGAUCCUUUGAGCGUGAUUCAGUUUUCAAGAGUCGCUGGAAAACCCAUAAUGUUACAAAAUUUGGUGCAUAAAAUCGUUGAUUAUUGAUUCACAAGGACUGGAAUAAAACAACAAAUCUAAUUUUCACCUGUGCUGAAUGAAAUACCUGAGAAGUUCAUUUUGGAUAUUUGUUCUGAACACCCACUUAGAGUCAAUACUAAAAAAGGAAUGAGAUGGGAAAAUAAUUUCUACUGGACCUCAAGGAGGGAACAGUAUGUGGUUCAUAAAUUUGGAUAGAGGGCAUGAAACUCACUCCUAAAGAUAUGUCUUGGUAAGAACAGAAGUAGGUAAGGAAGAACUUUCAUCUAACCAGAGCACAUCACUGCCUCUCUGUUCUCUUCUAUAUAGCUUUUUACUAAAAAAACUUGGGGACAGUUAAAGAAUAAAGUUUUGAAUGGGUCCCAAAAUUAUUAGUACCCGCAUGUCUUGUUCAAUUGAGAUAAUAUAGAAAUGUUUUCAAAAAUGAAAAUAUCAUAAGGCAUAUAAAAUCUCUCAAGAGGUUAUUUGGGGGCCAGACACGUAUUUAUGAUUGCAAGGGUUAAAAACAUGAUUAUCUUUGUUCAUGUCAUCCGAAAGAAAAUACAUGGUCCAUUGCACAACAGAGUAAAAUUCAUAAUCUAAUAAGAUGCUUUUAUUAAAGAAAAAAAAAUUAUUUGCCUGUAAUUUAACCCCGUGCAUUGCUUUAUGUCAGUCAUUUGGGUUGUGGCCAAGAUCCCUGAUGAGCAUUGACCUGUUUGCACUUUUCCACACCAGAACCUCUGAAGAUGAUUAGCUUCUGUGAUUUAGACUUGAGAUUCCAGGCCAUCCAGAUGUGUGGGACCCCAAAAUGGAAGUUAGCUCUUUCUACACUGUUUUAUAUAAAGUCAGAAGAACGGGGGAUAGAUGGGACAUUGACUGUGUCUGUUGAGCAGUUAGAUAUAGACGUGUGCCAGAGAAUUAAGGAGGAGACAACAAGAACACACUGAACACCUACCAUGUUCAAGGAAUUACAUCAGGUCCUCAGAUGACGAAGAAACAAUUCCUGACCUCAAGAAUCUCACUGUCUAGUGGGGGAAAUGGACAAAGAAAGAGAAGUAUACAAAAAAGUACUUUCAUGAAAUUAUUUGUGUACCUAUUUUUCAUUCUUAGAGUCCACAGAGAAAAUAUAUAUAAUAUAGACACUAGAAUCCUAUGUCUUCUUGGAGUACAUGUUAUUAAUCUAUUAUAUUUCCCUCUUCUCCCCUCAUUUUAAAGUUCAACAGGCAACAUUAAAUGCCCUUUAAAAGUCUCAGAGGAUAUAUGGAACAUUAUGUUGUCUUCUUACACAAUUAAAGAUAAUUCUUAGCUAAUAAUUAUGCAACAAAAAAGUGUUAAAAAUAGAUGCUGAGUAAUUAUAUAGAGAGAAUUUGAUAAUGAGGUGAGGUGGGCAGUAACCAUAGAAUUCUGUCACUCUCUGAUAGCUUGCCUCAAAUUAUCCAGUACUUUUGAGUCUCUGUGUCAAUCGAAUAUAUAAUUUAGUAUUUUUUAGGAAAUAAAUAUUUGUCUUUA